rnacentral:rRNA from 1 species
AGUGAACGCUGGCGGUAGGCCUAACACAUGCAAGACGAACGGCAGCACAGUAAGAGCUUGCUCUUACGGGUGGCGAGUGGCGGACGGGUGAGGAAUACAUCGGAAUCUACUUUUUCGUGGGGGAUAACGUAGGGAAACUUACGCUAAUACCGCAUAAGACCUACGGGUGAAAGCAGGGGAUCUUCGGACCUUGCGCGAUUGAAUGAGCCGAUGUCGGAUUAGCUAGUUGGCGGGGUAAAGGCCCACCAAGGCGACGAUCCGUAGCUGGUCUGAGAGGAUGAUCAGCCACACUGGAACUGAGACACGGUCCAGACUCCUACGGGAGGCAGCAGUGGGGAAUAUUGGACAAUGGGCGCAAGCCUGAUCCAGCCAUACCGCGUGGGUGAAGAGGGCCUUCGGGUUGUAAAGCCCUUUUGUUGGGAAAGAAAAGCAGCAGGUUAAUACCCCGCUGUUCUGACGGUACCCAAAGAAUAAGCACCGGCUAACUUCGUG